GAUGAACGCUGGCGGCGUGCCUAAUACAUGCAAGUCGAGCGAACAGACGAGGAGCUUGCUCCUUUGACGUUAGCGGCGGACGGGUGAGUAACACGUGGGUAACCUACCUAUAAGACUGGGAUAACUUCGGGAAACCGGAGCUAAUACCGGAUAAUAUUUCGAACCGCAUGGUUCGAUAGUGAAAGAUGGCUUUGCUAUCACUUAUAGAUGGACCUGCGCCGUAUUAGCUAGUUGGUAAGGUAACGGCUUACCAAGGCAACGAUACGUAGCCGACCUGAGAGGGUGAUCGGCCACACUGGAACUGAGACACGGUCCAGACUCCUACGGGAGGCAGCAGUAGGGAAUCUUCCGCAAUGGGCGAAAGCCUGACGGAGCAACGCCGCGUGAGUGAUGAAGGUCUUCGGAUCGUAAAACUCUGUUAUUAGGGAAGAACAAACGUGUAAGUAACUGCGCACGUCUUGACGGUACCUAAUCAGAAAGCCACGGCUAACUACGUG
rnacentral:rRNA from 1 species